AACGAACGCUGGCGGCAUGCCUAACACAUGCAAGUCGAACGAGACCUUCGGGUCUAGUGGCGCACGGGUGCGUAACGCGUGGGAACCUGCCCUUAGGUUCGGAAUAACUCCCCGAAAGGGGUGCUAAUACCGGAUAAUGUCUUCGGACCAAAGAUUUAUCGCCUUUGGAUGGGCCCGCGUUGGAUUAGCUAGUUGGUAGGGUAAAAGCCUACCAAGGCGACGAUCCAUAGCUGGUCUGAGAGGAUGAUCAGCCACACUGGGACUGAGACACGGCCCAGACUCCUGCGGGAGGCAGCAGUGGGGAAUAUUGGACAAUGGGCGAAAGCCUGAUCCAGCAAUGCCGCGUGAGUGAUGAAGGCCUUAGGGUUGUAAAGCUCCUUUACCCGGGAUGAUAAUGACAGUACCGGGAGAAUAAGCUCCGGCUAACUCCGUG
rnacentral:rRNA from 1 species